rnacentral:rRNA from 1 species
UACGUAGGGGGCGAGCGUUGUCCGGAGUUACUGGGCGUAAAGCGCACGCAGGCGGUCUGCUAAGUUUGGAGUGACAGUUGGUGGCUCAACCACCAAAGUGCUUUGAAAACUGACAGACUUGAGGGCUUCAGAGGGACACGGAAUUCCGGGUGUAGUGGUGGAAUGCGUAGAGAUCCGGAGGAACACCAGCGGCGAAGGCGGCGUCCGUGGACUGGACCUGACGCUCAGGAGCGAAAGCGUGGGGAGCGAUCCGG